CAACAGGAUUAAGAUACCCUGGUAGUCCACGCCCUAAACGAUGUCAACUAGCUGUUGGGGCCGUUAGGCCUUAGUAGCGCAGCUAACGCGUGAAGUUGACCGCCUGGGGAGUACGGUCGCAAGAUUAAAACUCAAAGGAAUUGACGGGGACCCGCACAAGCGGUGGAUGAUGUGGAUUAAUUCGAUGCAACGCGAAAAACCUUACCUACCCUUGACAUGUCUGGAAAGCCGAAGAGAUUUGGCCGUGCUCGCAAGAGAACCGGAACACAGGUGCUGCAUGGCUGUCGUCAGCUCGUGUCGUGAGAUGUUGGGUUAAGUCCCGCAACGAGCGCAACCCUUGUCAUUAGUUGCUACGCAAGAGCACUCUAAUGAGACUGCCGGUGACAAACCGGAGGAAGGUGGGGAUGACGUCAAGUCCUCAUGGCCCUUAUGGGUAGGGCUUCACACGUCAUACAAUGGUCGGGACAGAGGGUCGCCAACCCGCGAGGGGGAGCCAAUCUCAGAAACCCGAUCGUAGUCCGGAUCGCAGUCUGCAACUCGACUGCGUGAAGUCGGAAUCGCUAGUAAUCGCGGAUCAGAAUGUCGCGGUGAAUACGUUCCCGGGUCUUGUACACACCGCCCGUCUACACUCUUGGGAGUGGGUUUCACCAGAAGUAGGUAGCCUAACCGUAAGGAGGG
rnacentral:rRNA from 1 species